rnacentral:rRNA from 1 species
ACGUAGGGGCCGAGCGUUGUCCGGAGUUACUGGGCGUAAAGGGCGCGCAGGCGGUCCCGCGCAUCUCUGGUGAAAGCCCCGGGCUCAACCCGGGAGGGUCCAGGGAGAUGGCGGGACUGGAGGCAGGGCGAGGGCGGUGGAAUUCCGGGUGUAGUGGUGAAAUGCGUAGAGAUCCGGAGGAACACCAGUGGCGAAGGCGGCCGCCUGGACCUGACCUGACGCUGAGGCGCGAAGGCGUGGGGAGCGAACGGGA